rnacentral:rRNA from 1 species
GAUGAACGCUAGCGGCAGGCUUAACACAUGCAAGUCGAGGGGCAGCGCGGGAUAGCAAUAUCCUGGCGGCGACCGGCGGAAGGGUGCGUAACGCGUGAGCGACAUGCCCGUUGCCCGGGGACAACCGGUGGAAACGCCGACUAAUCCCCGAUGGGAUAUUGUGCCGCAUGGCACGAUAUUGAAAGUUACGGCGGCGACGGAUUGGCUCGCGUCCGAUUAGCUGGUUGGCGGGGUAACGGCCCACCAAGGCUGCGAUCGGUAGGGGUUCUGAGAGGAAGGCCCCCCACAAUGGGACUGAGACACGGCCUAUACUCCUACGGGAGGCGGCAGUGAGGAAUAUUGGUCAAUGGGCGGAAGCCUGAACCAGCCAUGCCGCGUGCGGGAAGGAGGCCCUAUGGGCUGUGAACCGCUUUUGCCUGGGGGCAAUAAGGGCGUCGCGCACGUCCGAUGAGAGUACCAGGCGAAUAAGCAUCGGCUAACUCCGUG